GACGAACGCUGGCGGCGUGCUUAACACAUGCCAGUCGAACGGAAGGGCCCUGCCUUUGUGGGGUGCUCGAGUGGCGAACGGGUGAGUAACACGUGAGUAACCUGCCCUUGACUUUGGGAUAACUUCAGGAAACUGGGGCUAAUACCGGAUAGGAGCUCCUGCUGCAUGGUGGGGGUUGGAAAGUUUCGGCGGUUGGGGAUGGACUCGCGGCUUAUCAGCUUGUUGGUGGGGUAGUGGCUUACCAAGGCUUUGACGGGUAGCCGGCCUGAGAGGGUGACCGGCCACAUUGGGACUGAGAUACGGCCCAGACUCCUACGGGAGGCAGCAGUGGGGAAUAUUGCACAAUGGGCGGAAGCCUGAUGCAGCAACGCCGCGUGCGGGAUGACGGCCUUCGGGUUGUAAACCGCUUUCGCCUGUGACGAAGCGUGAGUGACGGUAAUGGGUAAAGAAGCACCGGCUAACUACG
rnacentral:rRNA from 1 species